ACGUACAUAAGUGAAAGAGUAUAAGAAUACUGGCAGCCAAGGCCUACCAUGUUUGUGUAUUUCAAGGCCCAUGUUAAAUGAAAAAGUAUGUGCAUCACCUACUCUAUAUUUUAAGGGAAAAUUAGCCAGCCAAAGUAGGUUCCUUUUAGAUUUAGGAUAAGAUCAUUUUGUUCAUUUUAGCUUAGAAAAAUUUAUAUUUCUUGAGUCUUCUCUUUUACAUUCUCUUAGCUUCAACAACAACUCUAAAGUUCCUUUAGGAUUCUUAGGAUUUUUUUUCCAUCCAAAUUGCUGGUAAGUGAAAAAUUAUGAGCUCCUCUUAAAAAAGAAUAUAGUAGUUAUGUUCUUCAUUUUUAAAUCAUAGGACAACCAUCUACAAGUUUGGUUAUUCCUUUUUUGUUGGUUAUUCAGAUUUUUCUCUUCUACUUUGGAUUGUGUUUGAAGGAACAAAUAUAUAGAAGUGAUAUAAUUUAAGUGCUAAUCUAUCAUAGUAACAAUUAAGGUAAGGCUAUUGCCUAAUUUUCCCAGUCCUAUAUAGAUGUUUUGAUGGACAAUUGUGUGUAUAUUAUUUAUAAGAAUUCAAGGGAUGGUGAGUUCGAUAAUCAUUUCUAUAAUAAAUUACGCAUAUAUCUUGUGGACAACUUAGUGGAUAUUCGGGAAAUGAGUGAAUGUAGUCUUAGGAAAAAGGGCUGCUGGAACGCCUUCGAUUUGAUAAAUUAUGGGAUUAUUGCUUGGAUACUAUUUUAGUGUGAUAGUUAAGCUUAAAUGUAUUGGUUAGAUGCUAAUAAUAUUUUUACUACUUACUCUAUAGAUUAGUAAUUAGGAAGGAAGGAGGUAUUGAGGUGCCAUAUGAGUUAUACAUCAAGGCUUCUCAGGAUUCUUGAUCCCAUACUUUAGGCCAGAAAUCUGACUCGUGUUAAAAAUAGGGUAAGUGUUCAUUAAAAAUAGUAUGUAAUAGAAGCUUUCAACCUCCAAUGUUUCUAACAACAUUGUUCCCACUCAUUAGUGGGUUAAGGCACUUCUAAAUGAGUUUUUGAGUAUAUCUACACAUUUAUUCUUCUAAGUACUUGUAUGAAAAAGGCACUUUCAAAAAUAAGAUUUAUGAGUUCUUCUCUUUGUCAAUCAUGGUCAUUUGUGGCAUUUAAUCAUCUCAUUGCUACGUUGUUUUUACUAUUUCUUCCUACAUUAUUUUUACGGUAUCAAAUGCAUAUUUAUGUCGUUCACUUAUAGUCAAAAGUUUAGAAUUCAAUAAUAUUAUGUCCAUCAAAAUAACACUCAUAAAGAUAAAUGGAAUGAUGUAAAAUGAAACUAUAUAUUAAUGGGUGGAUUUCCAAGGGGAAAUGUCUUCCAUGGGCCAAUCAUAAUCUAUAUAUUAUGGGUGGUAUCCUAACGGUGAAAAAAAAUCCUGGCAUAGGUAGAUCUUGAUUUGUGUAUUUAUGAGGACAUUAUUAUUGGGUCUAAAAUUCAUAGAAUUUUCCGUUCUCUUUAACAACAAAUCUAAUGGUCACUGGUGUCGCAUAACUUACAAUGUUUAUAAAGCAAUGAAGAUAAAGAAAAGUAAUGAAUGUAAUGUAUAUGAUUCCAUAAAUACAAUAAAAGGUGGUCAUUUGUUCUUACCUAUACAUUUGUAUCUGAUGUUAUUUGGGUUUAUUUUUUGCAUAUGUUUACUUUAUAUCUUACAUAUUUAGUACUGUCUUUCAUGCUGACGCCCCUUGCAAUGAGGAAUACUAUUUUUCAUUUUAUUGGCGUAGGUACUCCAUUAAUAGAACUCAUAAAUAUGAUACUAUGGAAAUAGGAUUUUGUUGUUGAUCUCUAGUUUAAUUAGGAGAUUUAUAGAGUCUUUUGUGAUCUUGGGUAGAUUUAUGCAUCUAAAUGUCAAUAUCUAUGCUUAAUUAGUCUCAGUUUUGGGACUUCUUGUGUGAUUAAUGUUGUAUUAUUUGUAUAAAUAAGAAUAUAAGUGUUAAUUUAUGUGUUUUUGGUUUUAAUGGUGUGUUCAUAAUGAGUUUUGAGUUAAAACAUUAAGUUAAAGUUCUAAUGUGAAAAGUAGUACUCUUAGAUUGAGUUAUGUUUCUUUCUAUGUCACCGUAUUGGAUUCUCAGUUGUUUUGAACUCUAAUUCGAGGUGUGUAUUGGUAUAGGAAUCUUGGUUACUUAACAAAGAUGAUGUGUGGUAUACUAUCUCUGAUAAUAGAGGAAACAAAGUGACAAAGCUUGGGGUUGAAGGCCAAAGGCAUGGGACUAAGUUUAAAGAAAUAUGGAAAAUUGGGACACAUUGGCAUGCCACACAGCUUAGAGGGAGUAAUAACGGCCUGACACACCCUUGUAUUUAUUAUAAGAAGUUUUUUCCACUAUCCCUCCAUGAUUUCAAUGUGCUGCAAGCCUAUUCUAUGAAAUCAGGGCAUGGCAUAGAGGUUAUGUCAAUUUAGCAAUUUCUGUCCUAUUAUAAAUAGAACACUUAAACAUUAUUGUACACACCUUGGACGACCUUAGGGCUUGGAGACACAUUUUAUAUGGAGGAAAAUAGGGCAUUUAUUCCUUUAUUUUAUAUUGUUAACGGAUUUUAAUAUGAAUUCAUCUAUUGUGAUUACGUGUAUAUGUAUGAGCGGC
rnacentral:lncRNA from 1 species